AUACUUACUCGGCAGGGAAGAUACCAUGAUCAUGAAGGUGCUUUUCCCAGGGCAAGGCUUAUCCAUUGCACUCCGGAUGUGCUGACCCCUGCAAUUUCCCCAAAUGAGGGAAACUCGACUGCAUAAUUUGUGGUAGUGGGGGACUACAUUUGCACUUUCCCCUG
ensembl:snRNA U1 U1 spliceosomal RNA